rfam:Triticum aestivum genome assembly, contig: Triticum_aestivum_CS42_TGACv1_scaffold_691274_T
GGAUGCGAUCAUACCAGCACUAAAGCACCGGAUCCCAUCAGCACUCCGAAGU